AGUAGAGCGGCGCACGGGUGAGUAACGCGUGGAUAAUCUACCCUGAAGAUUGGGAUAACAGUUGGAAACGACUGCUAAUACCGGAUACCCUGCAUAUUUAACUUUAUGUGGUAAAGGUGGCCUCUAUUUAUAAGCUACCGCUUUGGGAUGAGUCCGCGUCUCAUUAGCUUGUUGGUGGGGUAAUGGCCUACCAAGGCAACGAUGAGUAGCUGGUCUGAGAGGAUGAUCAGCCACACUGGGACUGAAACACGGCCCAGACUCCUACGGGAGGCAGCAGUGGGGAAUAUUGCGCAAUGGGGGAAACCCUGACGCAGCGACGCCGCGUGUAGGAAGAAGGCCUUCGGGUCGUAAACUACUGUCAGGAGGGAAGAAACUGUUAGGGUAUAAUACGCCCUUUCACUGACGGUACCUCCAAAGGAAGCACCGGCUAACUCCGUGCCAGCAGCCGCGGUAAUACGGAGGGUGCGAGCGUUAAUCGGAAUCACUGGGCGUAAAGCGCACGUAGGCGGCGCAUCAAGUCAGGCGUGAAAGCCCUCGGCUCAACCGAGGAAUUGCGUUUGAAACUGGUGCGCUGGAGUCUCGGAGAGGUUGGCGGAAUUCCAGGUGUAGGAGUGAAAUCCGUAGAUAUCUGGAGGAACACCGGUGGCGAAGGCGGCCAACUGGACGAGUACUGACGCUGAGGUGCGAAAGCGUGGGGAGCAAACAGGAUUAGAUACCCUGGUAGUCCACGCUGUAAACGAUGGAUAUUAGGUGUCGGGGGUUACCUUCGGUGCCGCAGUUAACGCGUUAAAUAUCCCGCCUGGGGAGUACGGU
rnacentral:rRNA from 1 species